CUGGGAGAGGAGACGAGAGCAGCCCCUGCACAUGAUGCGGCUCCCAGAGUUCCCAGGAUCCCUGACUGUGACAAUCCUCAAAGGUUGCUGCAGCUGGAGGAGGGAGAAACCCCAGGGAGCAUUUGGGGCACAGUCAGAACAGAAAAUUUAUCUUUGCUGAAUCUCCUCCUGUUCCCCCAGCAGAGUCAUUUCCUGAGCUCUGUUCUCUUGGGGCUGGGAGGUGCUUUUCUGACUCUCUCUCCCACAGCAAACAAGAGGGUCGGUCUCAGCAUGCACCGUGGGUAUCUCAUCCUCACUGCCUUCCUGGGGCAACUGCUGGAAACCACGGGGCAGGUGUCCGUCACCCAGCAAGAAGGACAAGUCACUGUGGAGCAGGGAAACACCUUCCAGACCAAUUGCACAUAUGAAACCUCCAGAUUUAAUGGCUUGCUCUGGUACCAGCAGAAGAAGGGACAAGCCCCUCAACGGAUUUCCUAUCAAGCAGGAGCAGGCACCAAGCAGAGUGACCGUCUCACCACGGAGCUGAACACUGAGAGGAAAUCCAGUGUUCUGCGUCUGAAGGAAGUCGAGCUUUCUGACAGCGCCUUGUACUUCUGUGCUGUGAGUGACACCCUGGUGCAGGAAGCUGCCCUGGCUGUGCAACAACUCUGGAUGUGGAGGGGACUUGUUCUCCAGAAGGAUUCUGUCAUUUCCAAGACAAUUGUGAAUCUCCAAAUUGUGAAUAUGCUCCUCCAUCUCAGACUUCAGUGUUAGCCAGGAGAUAAUUCUGGCUCAGAAGCACCUAUUGAUUAUUGCUCUAACCCAAGCAAUGGAUGUGUUAUGCGUAGAAAGUCUCGGUCCCAGCGUGAGAGCUGGGCCGGGGCUAAUACCUGAUAGGCCAGACUCCAGAGAGGCCUGGAUGAAGGCUCCAUCCAGAGAUGGCCCUGCACCACCUAAGAGGCUGGCUAGGCCAGGCUGACAAGAUUUGGCCAGCCCAGGCACAGGCACACAGGCAGCAGAGCUGGGGCAAUGCCAUGCUAGGCCUGAGCAUGAGCAGAGUCUUUGGACUAGGGGCAAGACUCUUUGUGAAAGUAAAGUACCCCCACACCACAGGGCCCCGAGGUGUGCUACUGUGGGAAGGCCCUCACCUGGGUGUGGAGAGCAGUGGGGCUACAUGGAGCACAAGGGCCACUUCAUCCUCAUGGCUCUGGGAAUGACAGAGGAGCUUGGUGCCUGGGAGAAGAUCCCCCAGCGUGUGCCCUGUGGUUGGGCUGGUGCAUGCCUUGUGACAUUCAGGGCCCAUACACAGAUCUUGCUGAGUGCACAAUCAGGUCCCAUUCUCACUGCUAUGUCUCAGCAGAGACUCUGGGAUCCCUGCCCCCACAGAAUGUCUUUUCUGGAGCAUGGUGCAAUUGUGCCACCUAUGGGGUCUCUGAGUUCCAGGGCCUGAUGAAAGCUGAUCCAUGCUUGGGGAAAAGAAAGCAAGACUGAGCAGCCGUGAGUGUUUGGGCAUUGGUCCCUGCCCUGGGCCUGCCUUCAUGAAAAAGGAAUUGAGUUCACAGGGCCUGGGGACUCCAGUGUGUGGCCUGAUGGGACUGGUACCAGUACGAACCUGUGGAUCCCCUCAGCCCUAUGCAUCUUGGCAACAGCUGGGCCAUGCCAGACGCUGUGCUGUAGUGUGAUGGGGAUGCACAGGGAAGCUGUUCCUGCUCUUCAUGCCCAGACAUGAUGCCAAUGAUUAGGUGGUGGAGGAAAUGUGAAAGUCGAUGAGGGACAGAGGGCCAUCACCAAGACAAUUACCCAUUCCCAGUUUCUGCAGUCCUUUGGGAUCAUAUUGGUCUCAGCCUCCACCCCCAGCACAGCUCCACCCAAAGCAAGACGAACACUCUUCCCCAAGAGCCGGGGCCUACAAUGUCAACAGCGCUUGUCUAGGCGGAGAUGCCACAAGUCACGGACUGGUGGCUAUUGGCUGUGAUGGAACUAGGGAUGUCUUCCUCACCUUCAAGAGACACUGACCGAAAGAGGAAUUGCUGCAGUAUGCCCCACCCUCCAGUGCCUAGAGGAAUGAGGCAGUGCCCCCAGC